UACACAGGGGCGCCUUUGGCUGAGACGGCGUUUGCCGAACCCUUUGACCUGAUCCGGACAAUACCGGCGUAGGGAGUGU
rnacentral:ncRNA from 1 species